rnacentral:rRNA from 1 species
AUUAGUUUUUUAAUUGAAGGCUAGAAUGAAUGGUUGGACAAGAAAUAAGCUGUCUUAAUUAAAUAUAUUGAAUUUAACUUUUAAGUGAAAAGGCUUAGAUAAUCUGGAGGGACGAUAAGACCCUAUAAAACUUUAUAUUUAUAAAUGGUAGUUAAUUUUAUUUUAGAAUAUUAUUUUGGAAUAUUUGGUUGGGGUGACAAGGAUAAAAUAUGAAAUAACUGUCUUUUUUUUUUACAGUGAUAUUUGGUUUAGUGAUCCUGAAAUGGAUUAUAAGAUUAAGUUACUUUAGGGAUAACAGCGUAAUUUUCUUUGAGAGUUCUUAUCGACAAGAAAGUUUGCGACCUCGAUGUUGAAUUAAAGGUUCUUU